ACAGCAGUUACUGUUUAAACAGGUGGUGGCUGUGGAGGGUUGGGAGGGACUAGGCUUCAGUACCAGGCAUGGACAGGCACAUGCCACAAGGGCCUCUGCAUCAGCCACAUGGAACUGGCCUACCCCUGUUCCCAUGUCCCCCUCCUCCUGACCUUUCCCCCAUCACUUCUUCCUGUCAGCUGAGAGGUACCCUGGAUUGACCCUGCCUCUCUGGCUUGGCUUUCCUGUCCCCACAGUGGGUGAUGGGGCCACUUACCAGCUUCCGAAGGGCUCCCUCAUCCAGCCCAGCUAAGGCCUCGUCCGCCAUCUCGCUGGCCCCUAGCUCCGUCGGUUCCUUUCUGGUGAGAUCCCCAGUGCCUGUGGCACCUGUCACCAGCUCAGAGAAUUCUGCAGGGGACAGACAUGAAUCAGGCAUGCUGGGGCUUCCAGAAACCACAGGCACUUAGGCUCUGUGCCUUACUUUCCCUCUCUAACCUAGGAGCGUCCAUUACUGUCCCAUCCUAUAAUGUGGCUCCUGGCUGGAAGCUGCCCUCUGCCCUAGGGUGGUUUGCUGGAAAACUCACCAAACCCAGGGUAGGGGGUCUCUGGUUCCAGCCCUGCCAGCUUGGCCGCCAGUCUGCUGUGUGGCCUGGGAUGGACUCUCAUCCUGUCUAAACCUCAAAACAGGGAGGGCAGGGACCUGGAUUGAGAAGCCAGGGCCUGGCAAGACCCACCCAAGCUGUGCUUACCACCAGGGGGUGCACUCCAGUCUCCAGUUUCCUGCCCCACCCACCCAUCCACAGGGCCUACCCAGCCCCCACCCACUCCGCAGGCUCAGCUUCUGGCUGUGGGCUGAACCCGUAGUUCUUGCUGCCACCACCACUGUCAUUCCCCCAGGUAUAGGAAGGUACACUGUGUCUUCCGAUUCUUGGAGCCAGCUCUGCUGUCCAGACCUCCUGAAGCCAGGUGUCCAGGCACCCAGCACCUCCUGCCAAUUCAUACAGAAUUCAAUUCCCCACCUGGAAGGGCUUUCAGAAGCUGACCUGCCCAACCCCUGGAUUUCAGGCAAACUGAGAAGAUUGGAGAGGGCCAAGGAUUUGUCACUGAGCAAGGAGGAAGCCAAAGACUUAGAGGGCAGAGAAGGAUGUAAUCAAAAUCUUCGUCAUCUCCGGCUUCCGAAGCUCCCUUCCAAAGUGCCCUCAAGGGCCUGGAACACUCUCAGUGACAGAGGCAAGAGCCCCAUCUUGCCCCAGUGCUGCCCAUCAAAAUGGACCCCUAAAUCCUGGCCCAGCCUCCCAGCGCAGAUCUCUCCUUCCUCCUGUAGCCCCAACUAAUGUCUGUCUGGAAUUUGAGGGGCCCUGGUCUGGCACACUGUGGAUGCUUAGUUAAUGUAUGGUGACUGACUAAUGUGUGGCCCCAGGCCUGCCCCCC
rnacentral:lncRNA from 1 species